AACAUGCUGAACAUUACUAUCAAGAGGGCAUCUUGAAGUCUGGCUCUUGCUAAGACACUACUCUGCUGAGACUGCAGAGUUGAUCGCGUUGACUGAAGCUAGUAAACUAGCAGAAAGAAAGUCUGAUACCAUCUACACAGACUCCACAGAUGGUUGGAAUCCUGGUGGAAUCCUGUGAGAUUUACUGUGAGAUCUUGCCACUUGCCUGCAUUUUUACAAUAUGAUAUUCUCCAGAUGUCCCACUGGCAGGUCCUCAGUCCUGACACAGAACUGAAGCUGUUCAACAAAAGCUGCUAAUAAACUAAACCACAUGGGCCUGUUUCCUGGACUUUUGAUUUGACUUGUGAUGACAGGCAACAUAUGGUUGUCAGCUCUACAGUACAUCUCUACAUCUGCCUUGCAGAUCCAGAUUUAUUAUAAUAUGCCCAAUGUUGUGCACACGUCAGAGCUCUUUAGUGUUAUGGCUUUAGAGGCUUCUGCGGGACAUAUCAACUUUC
rnacentral:lncRNA from 1 species